rnacentral:lncRNA from 1 species
UGGAAAUCAAAUUCCGCCAACUAUCAAUAAAAAACAACAAAAUAUAAACAAAAAAAUUUAUACAAUCAACUUUAGAUAUAAUUAGGGUGUAGGUGGCUAGAAAAUUCUUUUUUUUUUUCUUCUGGCAAAAUAGUAGCGUCUAGUAGCAUUAAGGACAAUUGCGAGAAUACGGUCACAACUAGACGAUUAGGAAGAAUAAGCAUAUACUUUAUUCUCAUUGGUCAAUUAUGAUAUUUACAAUCAAUGGAAAUUGAUCUUGAAACUGAUAAUGACAUGACCAUGUUGACCUUAAC